rnacentral:rRNA from 1 species
UACGUAGGGUGCGAGCGUUAAUCGGAAUUACUGGGCGUAAAGCGUGCGCAGGCGGUUUUGUAAGCCAGAUGUGAAAUCCCCAGGCUUAACCUGGGAAUGGCAUUUGGGACUGCAAGGCUCGAGUGCGGCAGAGGAGACUGGAAUUCCUGGUGUAGCAGUGAAAUGCGUAGAGAUGUGGAGGAACACCGAUGGCGAAGGCAGCCCCCUGGGUCAAGAUUGACGCUCAUGCACGAAAGCGUGGGGAGCAAACAGG